rnacentral:lncRNA from 1 species
CAAAAUGUUAUUCUCUUGGAUCCUUUACAGGCAGAAAAUUCUCUGAAGGCAGAGUACCACAGACGUGGAGAUGGGAAGUGUCUGCAGCAGCUGUUCACGGGAAGCUGUCGGCAAAAAGAAGGGCAGCGGAGUCAUAGAAUGACGCUGCAAUUAGAAACGAAAAGUGGAUGCAAAUUUCUGUCUGAGGGACACAUUUUUCCUCUUGAAAUAAUUCAAGAGACUUGCCAAAGGCCUCUGGAAAUGGAUGAUGUGUAUAUUUGCUGGCAGGGAAGGCUAGUUUCUUAAAACAUAAAAAAUUUCUCAUUUUUGUCUUUGAUGAGCAUCUGUUUAGCAAAAUCUUGGUUCAUGACCCCAGAGAUUAACUGGCUGGGCAUCGCAAGUACUCACCAAAUUCUGAACCUUUGCAGUUUAGCAGGCUCAUGCGACAAGUUCUGGUCAGUGAGCAGACAUGAUCUAUGUCACUUGUGGAUGAGACAUGGAAGACUGGCUGGGUUCCCCAUAAGCUCCCUUUCCGCCUGGUCUCACUAAAUGGAGCAUCUGAGGAAACGGGAACCUAUCAUGAUGGCACUCUCAAAUACAAGACUGCCUCUGUGAACAUUUUUCAGUGAACUACGUCUUUCAGAAUGACACUCCCACCUCAGCGCCCACGCCUUGGCCUUGUAGCGCGUUCAGAAGGCGACCUGCGACCGGCAUACAGAAUUGGAAAAGUCGCCGGUGUGAUGAGAAUGCCUAAUGUGCUCAGAGCAGCCGUCUGCGGCAGAAGCCAGCCCUCACAAAUCAAAACACCACUCUGUUGUGCACGGUGACGUGGAAAGUUUUAGAAGAGGGAAUCUCUGCCCUACGCAGUUAGUGGCUGGGGUGUGACCACAAUGCAUAAUGAGCAGGCAGCGGCUGAGCUGCAGAUGAUGCCUGCUGCUCUGUAGUCCAUGCUACUGGUCCUCUUUUCCUGGGUAAAGCUGGCAGCUGAACUGGGAGCCCCGGGGCAGUCAUCAAGAUGCAGA